rnacentral:lncRNA from 1 species
GAGUUUUGCCGCAUUAAAAGCCACCACACAAGCGAUUCAAGGUGGAUAUGGCACAUUUGGAGGUAAAAAGAAGAAAGAGGAUGUGAUGACUAUCGUAGAUGGAACCCAUUCCUAUCCUAAAAGACCACCUCGCCCCUAUCCCCAAUCCCAAACCCAAGUCUACGCCCAAGCUCUAUAUAUUCCUCCCCACCAUUACUACCCUCCAUAAAACCCUUUAUAUUCCAUUCCGCCA